rnacentral:rRNA from 1 species
AGCGAACGCUGGCGGCAGGCUUAACACAUGCAAGUCGUGCGCCCCGCAAGGGGAGCGGCAGACGGGAGAGUAACACGUGGAACAUACCUUUUGGUUCGGGACAACUGAGGGAAACUUCAGCUAAUACCGGAUAAGCCCUGACGGGGAAAGAUUUAUCGCCGAAAGAUUGGCCCGCGUCUGAUUAGCUAGUUGGUGAGGUAACGGCUCACCAAGGCGACGAUCAGUAGCUGGUCUGAGAGGAUGAUCAGCCUCACUGGGACUGAGACACGGCCCAGACUCCUACGGGAGGCAGCAGUGGGGAAUAUUGGACAAUGGGCGCAAGCCUGAUCCAGCCAUGCCGCGUGAGUGAUGAAGGCCUUAGGGUUGUAAAGCUCUUUUGCCCGGGAAGAUAAUGACGGUACCGGGAGAAUAAGCCCCGGCUAACUUCGUACCAGCAGCCGCAGUAA